CAAGAUUCUCGGGGUAAGGUGAAAUUCCUGACCGGCGGUGAUGUUCAAAGCGAACUAAGCCCGCGACUCAAGCUCCGCUGUUAAGGCGGAAUUGACUGAUCUGGUGACAAUCCAGAGCCGACGGUAAAGUCCGGAUGGGAGAGGAUCAAA
rnacentral:ncRNA from 2 species